rnacentral:lncRNA from 1 species
CCUCUCAAUAUCAAAAAUUCUACCACUGAACCUAAGCAAAGAGCUCUCUACACCCUUUAGUCUAGAGCUCAGGUCAGACAAAAGCUGCAUCAAUGAGGAUAUGUGUGGCACAACAAAAAAAUCUGAGAAAGAGUCAGAAAAAAAACUCGAUGGAGGCUGACGAUAUUGCUGCUGCACCAGCUGGAGGAUCUACUGCUGAAACUGAUGAAACUGC